rnacentral:lncRNA from 1 species
CGUGGACGCGAGAGGAAAGCUGGCCUUCUGCGUUUGUCUCAGACAAUGAUUUCGGCUAGAUGACUGUGUUUUGUGGAGAAAAGGAUUCGAUGGGAUAUUGACAGUCUCCUAUCAAUAGUUGAGCCCUAGAGGCCUGGCUGUUUGGGCCCACACUGAUUGACUGUGCCUUAAUAGACAUGUAAUUGUUGACAAAUACUUUCCGAUAGACUGUGGCAAUACCCAGCCAGACAAAGGAGGCUUCCGGGUAAUAAGAACCAGCACAGAGCCAUUUGUUACAGGCAAAGCCUUGCCGAAGAAACGACGUAUGCUAAGAAAGAAGCUCUGGAGAGAAAGAAGCAAGCUUGACAACCCUCUACCCACGCAGCCAAACCUGGGUGACACUGGUGAAGCCGCAACAGAAUGUCCUGGGUCUUGAAGUAUCUGAAGCUUCUUCUAACAGACAAACGGGGUUGGAAAGAUGGCUCAGUGGUGAAGGGCGUGCACUGCUCUUCUCGAGGACCUGAGUUCAGAUCCCAGCACCUACAUCAGAUCACUCUCCAUCACCUGUGACUCCAACUCUAGGGAGAACAAACAUCCCUGGCCUCUACUGGCAUUUGCUCUCACAUGUAUAUAUGUCACCCAAAC